rnacentral:rRNA from 1 species
GGUCAAGCUACAAAGGGCUCACGGCGGAUACCUU